CCUACGGGGGGCAGCAGUGAGGAAUAUUGGUCAAUGGCCGUAAGGCUGAACCAGCCAAGUCGCGUGAAGGAAGAAGGAUCUAUGGUUUGUAAACUUCUUUUAUAGGGGAAUAAAGGUAUCCACGUGUGGAUAUUUGCAUGUACCCUAUGAAUAAGCAUCGGCUAACUCCGUGCCAGCAGCCGCGGUAAUACGGAGGUUGCGAGCGUUCUCUGGAUUUAUUGGGUUUAAAGGGUGCGUAGGUUGUUUUGUAAGUCAGCUGUGAAAGGUUGUGGAUCAACCAUAAAAUUGCCGGUGAAACUGGAAGAAUUGAGUGUGUGUGAGGUAGGCGGAAUGCGUGGUGUAGCGGUGAAAUGCAUAGAUAUCACGCAGAACUCCUAUUGCGAAGGCAGCUUACUAAGCCAUAACUGACACUGAAGCACGAAAGCGUGGGGAUCAAACAGGAUUAGAUACCCGGGUAGUC
rnacentral:rRNA from 1 species